rnacentral:rRNA from 1 species
GGGUCAGUAGGUUGGUCGUGCCACCGGUACGUACUGGUCUCACUGAUUCCUCCUUCCUGAAGAACCGUAAUGCCAUUAAUUUGGUGUUGCGGGGAAACAGGACUGUUACUUUGAAAAAAUUAGAGUGUUUAAAGCAAGCUAACGCUUGAAUACACUAGCACGGAAUAAUGAAAUAGGACGAUCGAUCCUAUUUUGUUGGUUUCUAGGAUUGACGUA